UAAAAAGGUAAGCUAAUUAAGCUAUCGGGUUCAUACCCCGCUUAUGAAAGUUUUAGUCUUUCCCUCUUU
rnacentral:tRNA from 1 species